GGGGGCUCUACGUCCGUUCAGCUGGAGGUCUCUGGCUGCUCUCAGCAGGAUUACCGGCAACGUUUCCAAGGACUUGAUGCUGUGCUACAUCAUCUACCCAUCUCACCUGACAGAGGAACAUCUCUCCUCUCCAGACUGUCUCUGCAGGGUCACAGUUCAGGAGAUUAUUUUAAGCAGAUGGAUAUCAUCACGAGAACGGACAGAGACGGACG